UACGUAGGGGGCUAGCGUUGUCCGGAAUCAUUGGGCGUAAAGCGCGUGUAGGCGGUCCGGUAAGUCCGCUGUGAAAGUCGGGGGCUCAACCCUCGGAUGCCGGUGGAUACUGUCGGGCUUGAGGUACGGAAGAGGCGAGUGGAAUUCCUGGUGUAGCGGUGAAAUGCGCAGAUAUCAGGAGGAACACCAAUUGCGAAGGCAGCUCGCUGGGACGUUACUGACGCUGAGACGCGAAAGCGUGGGGAGCAAACAGG
rnacentral:rRNA from 1 species